rfam:TPA: Bos taurus chromosome 28, whole genome shotgun sequence.
UCCCUGGUGGCUCAGAGGUUAAAGCAUCUGCCUAGAAUGCGGGACACCCAGGUUCUAGCCCUGGGUCGGGAA